rnacentral:rRNA from 1 species
UCGAGAAUUUUUCACAAUGGGGGAAACCCUGAUGGAGCGACGCCGCGUGGAGGAUGAAGGUCUUCGGAUUGUAAACUCCUGUCAUGCGAGAACAAGAAAGUGAUAGUAUCGCAAGAGGAAGAGACGGCUAACUCUGUGCCAGCAGCCGCGGUAAUACAGAGGUCUCAAGCGUUGUUCGGAUUCAUUGGGCGUAAAGGGUGCGUAGGUGGCGUGGAAAGUUGAGUGUGAAAUCCUGGGGCUUAACCUCAGAACUGCAUUCAAAACUCCCAUGCUAGAGGAAUGUAGAGGAGAGUGGAAUUCACGGUGUAGCAGUGAAAUGCGUAGAUAUCGUGAGGAAGACCAGUUGCGAAGGCGACUCUCUGGGCAUUUCCUGACACUGAGGCACGAAGGCUAGGGGAGCAAACGGG